ACAUAAACUCCAUAUUCUGUGUUGCAUCUGCUGAAACCUUGUUUCACAAGGAAUCUAUCAAUUCUUUUGUUCCAAACUCUUGGAGCUUGCUUCAAACCAUAUAGGGCUUUCUUCAACCUGUAUACCAUGUUUUCUUUACCUUUUAUCACAAAACCAGGAGGUUGAGUCACAAAAACUACUUCUUCUAAUGGUCCAUUUAAAAAAGCAGAUUUGACAUCUAGAUGGUACAUAGGCCAAUCUCUUGCAUUUGCUAUAGCUACUACCAGCCUUACAGUCUCAAUUCUAGCAACAGGUGAGUAAACCUCUUAGUAAUCCAGCCCUUCUCUUUGCAGAAAACCUCUUACAACCAAUCUUGCUUUGUGCUUUGCUAUGAAACCAUCUGGGUUGAGCUUCAAUUUGAACACCCAUUUUACUGCUAUUGCUUUCUUGCCUGAUGGUAACUUGACUAUCUCCCAUGUCUGAUUCUUCUCAAUGGCACAUACACUACAAGAAAAAAGGAAUAUCACGACAGGCAAACUGCAGCGGUUGCAUUCUAGCCGUCGUCGCUUUUCCCUUUUGUGGCAGUUACUGUAGCAGUUCCUUUCCGCCGUCGCAUUUUUCCCCCUUUUUGCAUCUUAUCUCUUUAAUCUACCCAAACCCAAACACUUCAUUAACCCAAAUCCCUAAUCGAUUUCAGUUUUCCUUCUCGUCUCAGAUCUGUACUCUUCGAACCCAAAUCGAUUUCAGUUCGUCAAACCCAAAUCACUUCAUGCCUCAGAUCUUCGAUUUCUCUCUUCACACACCUUGAAUCCCUAAUAAAUUUCGAAAUUUCCCUAUCUCACGGUUUGCUUAACUUCGAAAUUUCGAUUCAUUAUGUCUUCUCAACGCUCUCUGCUUUCUCUGAUUUUGUUUUCAUUGUAAACAGUUGCUGCAUGUUAAGUUGAGACAGCUUUAUGCAAGAUUUGCUUCAAAUUUUGGAACUGAUUCUUAGAAGAGUGAUUCUGGCAAGAGGAACCCCAACAACCAAAUGCUUGGAAGGCCUGUGAGUUGCAAUGGAGGCUUGCAAUGGCUUUGCAGUAACUUAUGUUCCAUUAGAUGACACUCUUGGUAUGUCUUUUCUUCCUUCUCGGCCUUGUUUGGAUUAAAAUCUUAAUUAAGCAAUUACCAUAUAAGUUCUUACGUAUAAGCUAGUUUAUAGUAAAAGAUAAAUAAACUCAAAUUAUAUUCAUAUAUAAGCUAUCUUAAAGAGUUUAUAGAAAUAAACUAAAAACAACUUAUGAACAUGUCAUAAGUUUCUUCCAUAAUUAAGCUCUCACAAAGACACAAAAAGUCUCGUAAAUACUUAUGAUAGUAGAAAACCUCAAAUAAGUUACUCACAGUCCAGAUUUUGUCAUGUCUUGCUUUACCUGAAUCAUCUUUGAACUUUUCUCGCUAUGACGGUAUCAGGUCAGUGGUUGACUCCCCAUGUAACCCCCCUCUCUCUCUCUCCCUGCAUAUACACACACAACUGAACACAGUGUUUUGUUGUGUUCUUAUUUUCAUUGAUAAAUAAUUUUGUUUGGCUUGGAUCCAUUUUCUCUAUUCUAGAUAUGGAAACAAGUUUACGCUGAUUAGUUGGACUCUCUCUUUGGAGAUUCCUAAGCCAGAGGGUUAAGCUCUAAGGUGACAACGAGAGGUUUGGGAUCUAUAAGAAGACGUUUUAUGUGAGUUAAUGUGUUACAAGCAAUAACCGCUACAAGUAAUAGCUUUAAGGAGGCACUAAAUCAAAAUAAUAUCUUCAUUUCCCUUGAGCUGCUAAUAAAAUUGGUAGAAAGAAAACUGAUCUUUUGGCUAAAUAUGUUGGUGACUUCAUGACUAUAAGUAUUUUUCAUUUUUCUUAUUGGCUAGAUUUUUAUCUCAUACUUCUGAUUUUAUGUGAACUGGAUAAGUUAGGUUGAGGUUUCCAUUACUGGUAUUCAACUUCACCAACAAAUAUGAGGUGCUCGUCAUAUUGUCACAAAGCUAGUAGUCAUGGAGAUGCAUAUUUUUAAUUUUAGUGUUUACCAAAGAAGAAUAGAUACUUAGAUAUCAUAAUUUUGCUGUGUUUGUUAUUAAGUUUGAACCAUUAGCAAACUUAGUAUUUUGAUACUUAAAGUAGUCAUGCAUAUAGAUUGUUAUGCUGAAUUUUUGCACUAUGUAUGUAAAGCUACUGGAGCUCAUUUGUAUUCGAAUUUAAUGUAUGAAAUUCCAUUUAAAUUUGAAUCGUUAUUUUAUUUUGAA